rnacentral:lncRNA from 1 species
GUUUCACAAUUUGAGUUGAAUUACUGAAAUAAAUCAUUGAUCGAUACUGUCUGCUCACAGUUAAUAGCCAAUCAGUGCAAAGAUUUAAGUCAAAUAUUCCUCCCCCUCCUCACGUGCCUUCUUUUUGAACGCGACUUUUCUUCAAUGAGGGAUUGAAGAAAAAUCACAUUUAAAAGAAGCCGCGUGACGGAUGAUUUUCUUUUAUAAGUGCGAAUCACUUCAGGGAACUUCGAUUAGAACAGACUCAACAUUCUCAGAUCAAGUCAUGGACCACAGUGCAAAGAACGGUACAUCACAGCUCAACGGGUAAUGUUUCGAUCUGUUGUUUUAUUGUUGAAUUCAUUGUCACCACAUGCCAGGACAUGAAUCUGUCAUGACUU